AGGUGGAGCGAGCCGAGCCGA
rnacentral:misc_RNA from 1 species